UACGUAGGCAGCGAGCGUUGUUCGGAAUUACUGGGCGUAAAGAGUGUGUAGGCGGUGCUCUAAGUUCGGUGUGAAAUCUCCUGGCUUAACUGGGAGGGUGCGCCGGAAACUGGAGUGCUCGAGCGUGGGAGAGGAAAGCGGAAUUCCUGGUGUAGCGGUGAAAUGCGUAGAUAUCAGGAGGAACACCUGUGGUGUAGACGGCUUUCUGGACCAUAGCUGACGCUGAGACACGAAAGCGUGGAUAGCAAACAGG
rnacentral:rRNA from 1 species